UCAAGAACACGACAUGACUUCCGUCUAUUUUUAAUAUCUGACAGUCUGUGACAUUUUAGUAACAAAUCCACAAAUUGAAGCAUCUUCCAAGCAUUAGAGCUUGAAUUAUGUCUGUUAUGAUAAUUAAUUAAUAAGAAGACGUGACAGCAAGAUACGCUUUUGAAAAAAGUCUCUUAAUUUUGAACAAUGAGAACAGUCCUGCGAGCACCACACCGACAUCAUUCCCAUUUGGUAGAACUUGACCUGUUUACCUUGUUUGUGAGAUAGCUUUAUUGUGAAUCACUUUGUGAUAGGGAUGAUUCCUGCCCGAAAAAGUACGGUUGAGCCCAAUGGCGAUACUAAAGUGCUAUUAAAAUUUUCACAAUGA